rnacentral:sRNA from 1 species
UUCUCUCUAACGGGGCAGCACUGGACGAUGCUUCUCCCAUGGCCACUCUGGAAGCCCUAUCCAAGGGGGCUCAUCCUUGGUGGGGUCGGGUGUGGGAGAGGGGCAAGAAGCCUCAUCCCUGAUUGGGCUCUGAGCAGGAAGUGGGACUUGUAGACCCCAGAGCAAGGCGAUGCUCCUCUGAACACGGGCUUCUCCGACAGGCACCUGCUGCGGCUGCCUGCGGCAUUCAGGAAAGCAGCUUCCCAGAACUCGAGCCUGUGGGCCCAGCUCAGUUCCACACAGACCAGUGAUUCCACGGAUGCCGCCGCUGCCAAAACCCAGUUCCUCCAGAACAUGCAGACAGCUUCAGGCGGACCCCAGCCC